rnacentral:rRNA from 1 species
AAAACAUGUCUUUUUGUUUAUAUAAAAAGUCAAGCCUGCCCGGUGAAUUAUUUAACGGCCGCGGUAUAUUGACCGUGCAAAGGUAGCAUAAUCAUUAGUUUUUUAAUAGGGGACUGGUAUGAAAGGUUUAACGAAACAUAAACUGUCUUAUUUUUAUUUUUAUAAUUUAACUUUUGAGUUAAAAGGCUUAAAUUUUUUUGAGGGACGAGAAGACCCUAUAGAGCUUUACAUUAUUUAUUUUAUUAAUAUAUUUUAAUAAUAAAGUACUAUUAUAAAUAUUGUUUUGUUGGGGUGACAAUUAAUAUUUAAUUAACUUUAAUUAUUUAAUUUACAUUAAAUUUAUGAUUAUUUGAUCCAAUAUUAUUGAUUAUUAGAAUAAGUUACCUUAGGGAUAACAGCGUAAUCUUUUUUCAGAGACCAAAUUUACAAAAAGGCUUGCGACCUCGAUGUUGGAUUAAGAUUAUAAUUAGGUGCAGUAGCUUAAUAAAUAGGUCUGUUCGACCUUUAAAUUCUUACGUG